UACGUAGGGUGCAAGCGUUGUCCGGAAUUAUUGGGCGUAAAGAGCUCGUAGGCGGUCUGUCGCGUCUGGUGUGAAAAUCCAGGGCUUAACCCUGGACCUGCAUCGGGUACGGGCAGACUAGAGUGCGGUAGGGGAGACUGGAAUUCCUGGUGUAGCGGUGAAAUGCGCAGAUAUCAGGAGGAACACCGGUGGCGAAGGCGGGUCUCUGGGCCGUAACUGACGCUGAGGAGCGAAAGCGUGGGGAGCGAACAGG
rnacentral:rRNA from 1 species